ensembl:snoRNA SNORD15 Small nucleolar RNA SNORD15
CAUCAGUGGUGAUAUGAUGACAGCUCUGAUGG